rnacentral:rRNA from 1 species
AGUUAGACGUUCAGAGUUUUGAUCCUGGCUCAGAUUGAACGCUGGCGGCAGGCCUAACACAUGCAAGUCGAGCGGAUGAGUGGAGCUUGCUCCAUGAUUCAGCGGCGGACGGGUGGGUAAUGCCUAGGAAUCUGCCUGGUAGUGGGGGACAACGUUUCGAAGGAACGCUAAUACCGCAUACGUCCUACGGGAGAAAGUGGGGGAUCUUCGGACCUCACGCUAUCAGAUGAGCCUAGGUCGGAUUAGCUAGUUGGUGAGGUAAAGGCUCACCAAGGCGACGAUCCGUAACUGGUCUGAGAGGAUGAUCAGUCACACUGGAACUGAGACACGGUCCAG